rnacentral:rRNA from 1 species
UACGUAGGUGGCAAGCGUUGUCCGGAUUUAUUGGGCGUAAAGAGCCCGCAGGCGGUUUGGCAAGUUUCAGGUGAAAUCUCCUGGCUUAACUGGGAGGGUGCCUGGAAAACUGCCAGACUUGAGGCAUGGAGAGGGAUGCGGAAUUCCCGGUGUAGUAGUGAAAUGCGUAGAUAUCGGGAGGAACACCAGUGGCGAAGGCGGCAUCCUGGCCAUGUCCUGACGCUCAGGGGCGAAAGCGUGGGGAGCAAACCGG